rnacentral:misc_RNA from 1 species
CCAACUUCACGCUGAACCGAGUUUUCUAAACGCGUAUGAAAUUUGCUUUACCCACGCCCAUGUGAGCGUGCUUUUACGCUUGAUUCAUCUUCUUCUCUUUCUUCUUAUAUCCCUCCUUGUCCUCGACGUAACGUUUCUCCGUGCGGAGUCUGUUUUAUCAUAUCGCGAUCGCGAAUUAGGAGACUUUAUGACAGGUACACAUGUCGCUUCCGAUUUUCAUCCGCCUUCAACUCCAGAGAUGAACCUAGCAACGCGAAUUUUACGGUGUUAUUGCCAAAUCAUCUCGAUCGAGCUCCCAUCGAGCUGAGCUAUCGAACUGGGAGACCCGUGUCGAGUGUGUAGUGUGUACGUGAAGACGGUAAACUGCCAAGGGUGUUUAGACACAUUGCAUCCCGAUGAUGGCGAGUGUGCGCGAAUCUGCACGAAUAAUACCGCAGUGACAUGAUAGUGAUCGCGCGCUUCAUCGCGGUCCAACGAGGUUGACAGACUAGAUUACUCGCGGAUUACUCGCGCGCGUGUACGUGUUCACAUGACUCCCGCGUCUGCCUAAGAAACGCACGAGAAUGGGUGUUGGCCUAAAACCGCUCGAGUUUACGGAUUGCCUGACCGACAGCCCGUACUUCCGCGAGAAUCUCCACUAUCACGAGCGUGAAUUGGAAAAGACCAGCCAGCAGAUCAAGCGGCUCGUUAAAGAGGUCAAGGAUUUGUUGCUGGCCGCAAAAAAUUUGUCCAGGGCGCAGAGAGCCUUUUCCAAGACGUUGCAGAAUUUUAGCUUCGAAUGCAUCGGUGAGAGUCAAACCGAAGACGAGACUCAUAUAUCUCAAAGCUUGAAGGAAUUUGGCAAGCUUAUUGCGUCUAUAGAGGAUGAAAGAGAUCGUAUGUUGGAACGAGCGUAUGAUCAGAUCAUACUGCCUUUGGAAAAUUUUAGGAAGGAACAUAUUGGAGGAGUUAAGGAUGGCAAGAAGAAAUUCGAGAAGCAGACGAUCAAGUUUUGCCAAAGUCAGGAGCGUUACCUGAAUUUAUCUACUAAAAAACAAGAUAACGUUCUGCAAGAGGCUGACGCGACGCUGGAGAUGGCUGAACGACACUUCUCUCAAGCUAGCUUAGAAUACGUGUUUUUACUGCAAGAGGUUCAGGAACGGAAAAAAUUCGAAUUCGUGGAGACGUUGUUGGGAUUUAUGUUCGGCUGGUUGACGUUCUAUCAUCAAGGCCAUGAAGUUGCAAAAGAUUUUAAACCUUACAUGACAGAGCUGCAAUUAAAGAUUCAGAAGACUAGAGAGAAUUUCCUUGCUACCCGGGAUAAAACCGAGUCACUUAUGAAUAAAAUGAAGGACAUGAAGAAGUCUGCGGUAGAAAGUGGUCUCAACAAACUGCAUUCGCGCGAAGGGUAUCUAUUCUUAAUGGAGAAGAAAGCGUUUGGCACAACAUGGACGAAGCAGUACUGCACAUAUCAAAAGGACAAAAAGGAGUUCACUAUGAUCCCUUACAAUCAGCUCACGGGGAAAUUUAGCAGCAAGGAAACCUUCACGCUUGCCACCUGCAUACGACGAACAUCGGACAGCAUUGAAAAGAGAUUUUGCUUCGACGUCACAGCUGUCGAUAAGUCUUUCCAUCGUUUUUCCAGACCUAACGUAACGUACACAUUCCAAGCGCUUUCCGAGGAGGAUCGAAAGUUGUGGAUGGACGCCAUGGACGGGAAGGAACCUAUCUGUCGAUUGGGCUCUUCCGCGAAGUCUGAAGACGCAACGUUGGAUGAGACCGGUUUUACAUUUGUGACCAAGUGCAUCGUCGCGCUCGAAGAUAGAGGACUCGAAGAGCAGGGCCUGUACAGAGUGGUCGGCGUCGCAUCGAAGGUGAACAAACUUCUGACGAUGGGACUCGACAAGCGAAAAAUGGACAAGCUCAAUCUGAACGACCGCUUCGAGUGGGAGAGUAAAACCAUUACCAGCGCGCUCAAGACUUACCUGAGAACGUUGCCGUUAAUGACUUACCGAUAUUACACCAGCUUCAUUACAGCUGCGAAACAGGAGACGAAGGAAGCUCGGAUAAACAGUAUACAUAGCCUCGUUUAUCGAUUGCCUAAGGCCAAUUUUAACAUCCUGAUGCGUCUUAUUACUCAUCUGUGCGGUGUGGCAAAGAAAAGUGACAAGAACCUGAUGACUGUGGGGAACCUGGCGGUGUGCUUCGGUCCGACUCUGUUGCGACCCGAGGAGGAAACGGUGGCUUCCAUAAUGGACAUCAAGUUCUACAACAUCGUCGUAGAGAUACUGAUCGAGAACUGCGAGAGAAUAACCGCCGGGCCGCCUCAGGAUUCUCUGCGCGCAGCAGCCGCGCAAUCGUCGUCGUCGUCGCAAGCUGCCGUCGUCGCGAGCAAAUCGCAGUGCGUUAAAACGGAGGAAGUCCCGACCUCCUCCUCGGGUAACGGCACGGCAUAUCUCAGAUAUCCCACGCACACGGCGGUGACGGUAACGCCCACGUCGUCACACACACAUUCCUUAGCGGUGGCAAUACGAGCAGUUCCAGCGAAUCGAUCGCGUCGGAUCCUCAUCCGUUCACGAGCGAGCUACCGGUGAAACAGAAACGCGGCACCAUGAUGUCCGUGCACUACGCCACGGCUUACCCGCAACGCAGCAACUCGUCGUCGAUAUGCCCCGUCAACACGUCGCCCAGUAGCGGACGAUCGAGUCCCGGUCAGGUGCCAGGAAUCUGGUAAGU